GUCCCGGGGUUUACUCUGGGACGCAAGCUAACGCGUUAAGCAGACCACCUGGGGAGUAUAGCCGCAAGGCCGAAACUCAAACGAAUUGGUGGGGAGGCGCACAACCAGUGGAGCAUGCGGUUUAAUUCGAUAUGAAGCGAUGAAUCUCACCUGGAAUUGACAUGUACCUGCAUCCCGGCAGUAAUGCUGGGAGCCUUCGAGGGUGGUACACAGCUGUUGCAUGGCUGUCGUCAGCUCGUGACGUGAGUUGUUCUCUUAAGUGAGGUAACGAGCGCAACCCCUGUCCUGUGUUAUUUUUUCACAGGAGACUGCUCAGCAUUAUUGUUGUUGGGAGGAAGGAGGGGACGACGUCAAGUCAGCAUGAUGCCUAUGUCCAGGGCUACACGCAUCCUACAAUGACAAGUACAACGGGUUGCCAAACCGCGAGGUGGAGCUAAUCCUCUAAAACUUGUCUCAGUGGGGACUGCAGUCUGAAACUCGACUGCACGAACUUGGAAUUGGUAGUAAUCGUGGAUCAGCAGACCGCGGUGAAUACGUUCUCGCCUCUUGCACACACUGCCCGUCAAAUCAGCAAAGUUGAGGGUACCCAAAGACUCU
rnacentral:rRNA from 1 species